UACGUAGGGUGCAAGCGUUGUCCGGAAUUAUUGGGCGUAAAGAGCUCGUAGGCGGCUUGUCACGUCGGGUGUGAAAGCCCGGGGCUUAACCCCGGGUCUGCAUUCGAUACGGGCUAGCUAGAGUGUGGUAGGGGAGAUCGGAAUUCCUGGUGUAGCGGUGAAAUGCGCAGAUAUCAGGAGGAACACCGGUGGCGAAGGCGGAUCUCUGGGCCGUUACUGACGCUGAGGAGCGAAAGCGUGGGGAGCGAACAGG
rnacentral:rRNA from 1 species